UUAAAUGAUGUAGCCGGCGUCCCCAAGCCAACCCAAGCCAUUCAGUUACAGUGUGAAUGUCUGAUCGAUAAGAGGAGCUAUUCAGCGGAGAGCUGAAGCAAAAAUAAAAAGAGAUUUGUUCGAUUUCCCAUUUGCCGCCGCCCGCCCGUCGCCUGCUGCCAUCACGUCGUUUCAUGCAUCAAAAAUUUAAGUGCUCUUCUUACACCACGUUGCCACCACCACGCUGCCGCCACAUAUUGUCUGCCUCCGGUGUCGUUGUCGUCAUUUGCCACACCACGUUCCUUCCAGCCACCACGUUGUUCCCGCCAGCCACCACCAUCAUCACGCUAAAAUA